UGCGAUGCAUUAGCUAGUUGGUAAGGGUAACGGCUUACCAAGGCGAUGAUGCAUAGCCCGAGUUGAGAGACUGAUCGGGCCACAUUGGGGACUGAGACACGGGCCCAAAAAACUCCUACGGGGAGGCAGCAGUAGGGAAUCUUCCACAAUGGACGAAAGUCUGAUGGAGCAACGCCGCGUGAGUGAAGAAGGUUUUCGGAUCGUAAAAGCUCUGUUGUUGGUGAAGAAGGAUAGAGGUAGUAACUGGCCUUUAUUUGACGGUAAUCAACCAGAAAGUCACGGCUAACUACGUGCCAGCAGCCGCGGGUAAU
rnacentral:rRNA from 1 species